UACGUAGGGUGCAAGCGUUAAUCGGAAUUACUGGGCGUAAAGCGUGCGCAGGCGGUUUUGUAAGACUGUCGUGAAAUCCCCGGGCUUAACCUGGGAAUGGCGAUGGUGACUGCAAGGCUAGAGUUUGGCAGAGGGGGGUAGAAUUCCACGUGUAGCAGUGAAAUGCGUAGAUAUCGGGAGGAACACCAGUGGCGAAGGCGAUCACCUGGGGUUGUUCUGACGCUGAGGAGCGAAAGCUAGGGGAGCAAACGGG
rnacentral:rRNA from 1 species